CGAUCCCAGGACCAGGAUCAUGAUCUGAGCUUAAGGAUCAAGACAUUUAACCAACAGUCAUGCAGGCACCCUGCCUGGCUGACUUGAAAUAUCUGAGUGUUCCCAUGUGGAGGAGGAAAUGUUAAAUGUUUCUGUGUCUGAGGCCAAUGGCAGAAAGAGUGGCUCUAGCUUGUGGAAGCUCAGGUUCCUUGAAGGUAGGAGCUGUUCCUUAUUUCUGUUUCUGCCAUACUUAAGAUAGCACCUGGCACAUAGGAUGCUCUUCGUAAAUGUACUGAACUGAAUCAGAUCUGUCCAAUAAUGGAAUACUCGUCAGCCUUCCUGGAUGAAAAUGUGUUGGUAGCAGUGGUGCCCAUCACCAGUGAACACAGGGUGGGCCAAAUGUAUCACACGGUUCCUUAAAUGAGGAAGAGGGAGACAGAAGAGUCAGAACUGGAGGCAGCAGUGUUAGAAAGACUCAACUGGUCAUUGCCGGCUUUGGAGAUGGAAGAGGCCACGAGCCCAGGAGUGCGGGUGGCUGCGGGAAGCUGGAAGAGGUGCAAGAUCUGUAGAGACAGAAAAGAGAAGAGGGAUAACAGUGACAUAAUUGUGAAUCUGUUAUAAAGGAUUUGGCAUUCUCCGAGAGCUUCCUGAGAAAAAGCUUCCCAGACUGCUGCCCCGAAGCCAUCUCCUCCUGGGAACUGCACCUGGAAGUCAGGGAACUUGCCGCCAGCUAGCUAGCUGAAGCCAGUUCUUCCCAAAGCAUGGCCAAACAUCGAAGAUGAUGGCAUAUCUUAAUUAAGGUACUUGUGUAUACAUAAGAAGAUGCUAAUCGUUUCUGAUUCAGGUCAACCUGGCUGGAGUGCUGGAUUGAGAGCAGUUCUAAAGCUGAGUUCAGGGUGGCUCAGCGGUUCAGGCGCCUGCAGCCCAGGGCAUGAUCCUGGAGACCCGGGAUCGAGUCCCACAUCGGGCUCCCUGCAUGGAGCCUGCUUCUUCCUCUGCCUGUGUCUCUGCCCCCC